CGGGGUGUGGCGCAGCUUGGUAGCGCAUCCGCUUUGGGAGCGGAGGGUCGCACGUUCGAAUCGUGUCACCCCGA
rnacentral:tRNA from 1 species